rnacentral:rRNA from 1 species
GACGAACGCUGGCGGCGUGCUUAACACAUGCAAGUCGAACGGAAAGGCCCUGCUUUUGUGGGGUGCUCGAGUGGCGAACGGGUGAGUAACACGUGAGUAACCUGCCCUUGACUUUGGGAUAACUUCAGGUAACUGGGGCUAAUACCGGAUAGUAGCUCCUGCUGCAUGGUGGGAGUUGGAAAGUUUCGGCGGUUGGGGAUGGACUCGCGGCUUAUCAGCUUGUUGGUGGGGUAGUGGCUUACCAAGGCUUUGACGGGUAGCCGGCCUGAGAGGGUGACCGGCCACAUUGGGACUGAGAUACGGCCCAGACUCCUACGGGAGGCAGCAGUGGGGAAUAUUGCACAAUGGGCGGAAGCCUGAUGCAGCAACGCCGCGUGCGGGAUGACGGCCUUCGGGUUGUAAACCGCUUUCGCCUGUGACGAAGCGUGAGUGACGGUAAUGGGUAAAGAAGCACCGGCUAACUACGUG